rnacentral:rRNA from 1 species
GACGAACGCUGGCGGCGUGCCUAAUACAUGCAAGUCGAGCGAAGUUUUUCUGGUGCUUGCACCAGAAAAACUUAGCGGCGAACGGGUGAGUAACACGUAAAGAACCUGCCUCAUAGACUGGGACAACUAUUGGAAACGAUAGCUAAUACCGGAUAACAGUAUUUCUCGCAUGAGAGAUAUUUAAAAGUUGGUUAUGCUAACACUAUGAGAUGGCUUUGCGGUGCAUUAGCUAGUUGGCGGGGUAAAGGCCCACCAAGGCGACGAUGCAUAGCCGACCUGAGAGGGUGAUCGGCCACACUGGGACUGAGACACGGCCCAGACUCCUACGGGAGGCAGCAGUAGGGAAUCUUCCGCAAUGGGCGAAAGCCUGACGGAGCAACGCCGCGUGAGUGAAGAAGGAUUUCGGUUCGUAAAGCUCUGUUGUUAGGGAAGAAUGGAUAUGUAGUAACUAUACAUGUAAGAGACGGUACCUAACCAGAAAGCCACGGCUAACUACGUG